rnacentral:rRNA from 1 species
UUCCGGUUGAUCCUGCCGGACCAGACCGCUAUCGGAGUAGGGCUAAGCCAUGGGAGUUUACACCUCCGGGUCAAGGGGGUGUGGCGUACGGCUGAGUAACACGUGGCUAACCUGCCCUCAGGACGGGAAUAACCCUGGGAAACUAGGGAUAAUUCCCGAUAGGUGAGGAGUACUGGAAGGUCUCCUCGCCGAAAGGUCCUUGGGCUACUGUUCAGGGACGCCUCAGGAUGGGGCUGCGGCCCAUCAGGUAGUUGGAAGGGUAAAGGCCUUCCAAGCCUAUAACGGGUAGGGGCCGUGAAAGCGGGAGCCCCCAGAUGGGCACUGAGACAAGGGCCCAGGCCCUACGGGGUGCACCAGGCGCGAAACGUCCACAAUGCGCUUGUGCGUGAUGGCGCUACUCCGAGUGCCUCGUUAGAGGCUUUUCCCCACUCUAAAAAGGUGGGGGAAUAAGCGGGGGGCAAGACUGGUGUCAGCCGCCGCGGUAAUACCAGCUCCGCGAGUGGUCUGGGCUUUUAUUGGGCCUAAAGCGCCCGUAGCCGGCCUGGUAAGUUCGUGUCUAAAUACCGAGGCUCAACCUCGGAAAUGGUGCGAAUACUACCAGGCUAGGGGGCGAGAGAGGCUGGGAGUACUCCUGGAGUAGGGGCGAAAUCCGUAGAUCCCAGGAGGACUACCAGUGGCGAAGGCGCCCAGCUAGAGCGCGCCCGACGGUGAGGGGCGAAAGCCGGGGCAGCAAACCGGAUUAGAUACCCGGGUAGUCCCGGCCGUAAACUAUGCGGACUAUGUGUCAGGUGGGCUUAGGGUCCACCUGGUGCAACAGGGAAGUCCUUUAAGUCCGCCGCCUGGGGAGUACAGCCGCAAGGCCGAAACUUAAAGGAAUUGGCGGGGGAGCACCACAAGGGGUGGAACCUGCGGCUCAAUUGGAGUCAACACCUGGAAUCUCACCGGGGGAGACCGCAGAAUGACGGCCAGGCUGACGACCUUGCCAGACUCGCGGAGAGGAGGCGCAUGGCCGUCGCCAGCUCGUGUUGUGAAAUGUCCGGUUAAGUCCGGCAACGAGCGAGACCCCCACCCCUAGUUGCUACUCUGGCCUCCGGGCUGGAGGCACACUAGGGGGACUGCCGGCGUUUAAGCCGGAGGAAGGAGGGGGCCACGGCAGGUCAGCAUGCCCCGAAACUCCCGGGCCGCACGCGGGUUACAAUGGUAGGGACAGCGGGAAUCCAAACCCGAAAGGGGGAGGCAAUCCCUUAAACCCUGCCUCAGUUGGGAUCGAGGGCUGAAACUCGCCCUCGUGAACGAGGAAUCCCUAGUAACCGCACGUCAACAACGUGCGGUGAAUACGUCCCUGCUCCUUGCACACACCGCCCGUCGCUCCACCCGAGCGGGGGAGGGGUGAGGCUCUCUGCUUCGGUGGGGAGUCGAACUUCUUUCCUGCAAGGGGGGAGAAGUCGUAACAAGGUAGCCGUAGGGGAACCUGCGGCUGGAUCACCUCAUAGUGCAUCCCCUGGGGAAUCCCGUGAAUGUCAUUCCUCCUCCGGCCAAUGCAACUCCUCUU